AGGGAAUCUUCGGCAAUGGACGAAAGUCUGACCGAGCAACGCCGCGUGAGUGAAGAAGGUUUUCGGAUCGUAAAACUCUGUUGGUAGAGAAGAACGUUGGUGAGAGUGGAAAGCUCAUCAAGUGACGGUAACUACCCAGAAAGGGACGGCUAACUACGUGCCAGCAGCCGCGGUAAUACGUAGGUCCCGAGCGUUGUCCGGAUUUAUUGGGCGUAAAGCGAGCGCAGGUGGUUUAUUAAGUCUGGUGUAAAAGGCAGUGGCUCAACCAUUGUAUGCAUUGGAAACUGGUAGACUUGAGUGCAGGAGAGGAGAGUGGAAUUCCAUGUGUAGCGGUGAAAUGCGUAGAUAUAUGGAGGAACACCGGUGGCGAAAGCGGCUCUCUGGCCUGUAACUGACACUGAGGCUCGAAAGCGUGGGGAGCAAACAGGAUUAGAUACCCUGGUAGUCCACGCCGUAAACGAUGAGUGCUAGAUGUAGGGAGCUAUAAGUUCUCUGUAUCGCAGCUAACGCAAUAAGCACUCCGCCUGGGGAGUACGACCGCAAGGUUGAAACUCU
rnacentral:rRNA from 1 species